rnacentral:rRNA from 1 species
GACGAACGCUGGCGGCGUGCUUAACACAUGCCAGUCGAACGGAAAGGCCCUGCUUUUGUGGGGUGCUCGAGUGGCGAACGGGUGAGUAACACGUGAGUAACCUGCCCUUGACUUUGGGAUAACUUCAGGCAACUGGGGCUAAUACCGGAUAGGAGCUCCUGCUGCAUGGUGGGGGUUGGACAGUUUCGGCGGUUGGGGAUGGACUUGCGGCUUCUCAGCUUGUUGGUGGGGUAGUGGCUUACCAAGGCUUUGACAGGUAGCCGGCCUGAGAGGGUGACCGGCCACAUGACGACUGGGAUACGGCCCAGACUCCUACGGGAGGCAGCGGUGGGGAAUAUUGCACAAUGGGCGGAAGCCUGAUGCAGCAACGCCGCGUGGGGUAUAACGGCCUUCGGGUUGGAAACCGCUUUCGCCUGUGACGAAGCGUUAGUGACGGUAAUGGGUAAAGAAGCACCGGCUAACUACGUG